rnacentral:rRNA from 1 species
UACAGAGGGUGCGAGCGUUGUCCGGAAUCACUGGGCGUAAAGGGCGCGUAGGCGGCAAUUCAAGUCAGUUGUGAAAUCUCCGAGCUUAACUCGGAACGGUCAACUGAUACUGUUUUGCUAGAGUACAGAAGGGGCAAUCGGAAUUCUUGGUGUAGCGGUGAAAUGCGUAGAUAUCAAGAGGAACACCUGAGGUGAAGACGGGUUGCUGGGCUGAUACUGACGCUGAGGCGCGAAAGCUAGGGUAGCGAACGGG